CCUCCCAAUCGGGGGGCCAAUUCGCUUCCAGCCACCCGCGUCUCCGGCCAGCUCCGGCGGGCUCUCGCGCUGCUGAGCCGCGGCCCGAGACCACCUCGUCCUCCUCUCUUGAUUCAAUGGCUUGGAAUCCUUGAUCUGCAUCCCUCCACCACAAACCCUACCCCAGACGCGCGCAUCAGAUCGCCCGCCCUUCUCUGCCCUGCACCAGCUCAACCCGCCCCGGGCGACUUCCCCCUCCUCCGCUCGUACAGAUCCUCUCCAACGGGACCACGGCGGCCCUCUUGCUCACCAGCGGGAAAGGAGGAGGGGAGGUGAAGAAGAAAGGGCCCUCCUUUUCUGCCCGAUAGGAUCGGCACGCGACUGGUUGCUUCCGGCGGCGCCAUGGCACGAGCAGCUGCACCUCUUCUUCAAGGAGGAAGGAGUCCUUGGGCUGCUGGUGCUGCUGCAGCCGGCAGGUCUUCAGAUUGGUUCAGGGGGCCCUAGCAUGGUUGCCAUGGCAUGAGGAGUUGUGGCUGCUUCACCUCUACAUCAAACAAGAAGGACAGCGAGACUGGUUGAUGAUGUUGCACCGGUGUCGCACAUCUUCCUACGCUGGAUCAGUACUUUAUUUUUCUUCAACUGAUGUUAUUAGGAUCUUGUUUCAAGAGGUGAGGAGCAGGGGCGGAGCUGCGGUCAGUGCUACCGGCGCUGUAGCAACGGUCUAGCUGCUAGCCAAAGGUUGUCUUGAAGGUUGAAGUUUGUGGUUCGGUAGCUACGGUGUUUUUCCCGAGGAUCCUGUUUGAAGAGGUGAGGAGCAGGGGCGGAGCUGCGGCCGGUGCUACCGGGGCUGUAACACCGGCCUAGUUGCUAGCCAAAGGUUGUCUUCAAGGUUGAAGUUUGUGGCUCAGUAGCUACAGUGGUUUUCCCGAGGUCCAUUUUCUUUCCCAGCCCGUGUUUUUCAGCUGCCUUUUGCAUGUGAAGUAAAUGUGAUGUAGGAGGUCAUGUAAGUUUGAUGUGAUCACUGAUCACGAUGUUGGUAUGCAUCUAUAUUCAUAUGUCAUCUCAUGUGUUUAGCCAGAGUUCACACAAUUAUUUGUUCGAGAUUUGAGUAACAAUGUCCUAAACAACCAGGAAGUAGAUAGCUUGAAUUAAUGCGCAGUACUGUAAAUUUUUGCCACCUAAUAUUGAAAUACGUGGCUACAUGGAAGUCAUACUAUCCAGUUCUAUAUGCUUAUUAUGAAAAUAAUACUGUAUUUCAAAUGCCUUCUUACUCUUGUUAUGAGGUUACUAAGGCUGCACCAGUUCUAUUUCUUGGUCUGUACAAAAUUGGGAAUUUAUUACUCCUACUGUUUAUUACUAAUACUGUUUAUGUUUCUCUUCAUGCUCUUUUGUUAUAUUUAUGUAGUUCCUCUAUUAGAUGUGUGUAGCAGGGAAAUUUCAAUAAUUAUGCUGCUUGGCUGAUCCAAUUUUAAUAAUUGUGCAUUGUGCUUUAUUGAAAUGCAUGUGCUGCUGCCUAAAUGGAAAGAGGAAUUGAAAUGCGUGUGCUGCUGCUGCUUUUUUUGUGAAUGAUGGAUUUAAAUUUUUGUCUACUGCUCGUUGUCUCGCUUGCAAGUUUAAGCUACUUGUGAUCUUACUUUUACUUGUGCUACUUCUUUACAAAUGGUUUCUUACACUCUGAGAAUGAAAACAUGUAAGUGUUGCUACUUCAGAUUGUGGUGUCAGUCCAAAUGCUAUUUCUUCUCUGAUCUGGUACUUUCCUUAAUCAAAUGCUAUUUUGAUUGCCUUGUGGCAUGUAGAUGUAUUCUUUGUUGCCUCAUCGUGUGGAUCCUGAAGUCAAAACACACUCCUUGGAGCUGACCAAUCUUGUUUUGUUCUUGUUGGAGGUUAUUGAGGAGGACUAGGUGCCCGACAAGCUAGCUAGGAGCUGCAGCCAGAUGCGAGGAAGCUGGAAGACAUCAAGCCUGGAAGUUUGAUGAUCUGCCAUAUAUAUUUCAUUCCUUGUAAUAAUUAACUGUCCAUCCGCCCCAGGCUGGUGUUCUAUUUAGUGCUGCACCUAUUGCUCGACACCCAUUGCCGGUGAGUCGGUUUUCUGACAUUUUACACUUUCCCCACUUCCUCUCAUUCUACUUCACUGCACAAUUCCAAAUUCUUGCAUUCCUUUUCUCGAUUAGCAACUUGGUUAGCAGAAGCCGUGCUUUGGAAUAUGCUGGAAACCUUCCAUGUUUAAUUGUAAUAAAGCAUUCUAGUUCUGGAUUGCUGCUUGCUGAAGAACACUGGCUCGUGGGUAGCCUACAAAGAGCUGGUUGUUGCCCAUUUAGGGAAUGUGAUUCCACAUUAAAGUAAGUUGAUAAGUGGAUUCAUGUUUAAUGGAAUUUGGUUACAGUAAGUUUACUUUUGGCUCUGAACUGUGAGAUCUUCCUUUUCCUAUGCUCCUUGUCUGGCUAGCACUUCUGGCUUGAAGCAGCACGUGGUCUAUGACUUCCUUGCUAAUAUGAGAUUGACUAAUGUUGUUUUUGUUAUAGAGCGUGCUCUGCUAUAUUCACUGAUCUGGACACUAACUGACAUGUUACAUGUAUGGAGUGGAUCAACUAUCGUGGAUCAAAUAGACCUUCAAGAGCAGGUCAAAAGGCUGGGUGGAGAAGUCACACUUUCUACAAGCUCACUCAAAAGGUUGUUGGAGCAAGCAGCCAACAACCUUGACGAUUCACAAAUUCAUGCAUGAGGAGUUGGUGGCGACGGCAGCUGCAUCCUUCCCCGGGUCAUCCUCUGUGGGCUGGCGCAGUCCCUAGGCUCCGUGCUCGCAGCCUCCAACGUCCUCGCCAGAAACAAGGUCGUGCUCGCCGCCGGCGCGCUGCUGUGGUGGAUCGUGGUGCCGAAUCGUGAUGAGGCCUACGACCAUGGGAACCUGGGUAGUCCCCAAUGAGCUCGUGACAAUGAUGAAAACAAGGCGUGAAUGCUGAUGUCACUGCAGAUCAGUAUGACAAUUACAAGGAAGCUUUUGACGACAUGGGUGUCAAUGGAUACAUAUUUUCAAUUGCCUGGCCUCGACUUAUCCCCGACGGGCGAGGAGCUGUCAAGCCCAAGGGACUGGAGUACUACAACUAUUUUAGACUUCCAUCUGUAUUGCUGCCAUCGUCUGCGGGAUAGCAUGCAAGAGGGCAGGAUAUAUACAACUAUGGCAAGCCCAAAGAUGAUUCAUGUCACAGGUCUGCUAAUGAUCCAAUGGGCAUUUCUACACUGAGAUUUGUUUUACAUCACCAUAGUCUUUGUUCGUGUGCGGCUGGAUCGCUACUUCAAAGGUGGCAGACAACGUCGCCCACCGUUGACACAAAUGCGAGCCGCCAAGAUGGGCACCGUGAGAUUCGGCCGAGUGAAAGACCCUGGAGAGAGAGCCAUUUGAAGAGGAUGGAAUGUAGCUGUGCAUUGUUUUGUUCUCUCUCUGUUCUCUAGGCCCAGGAGUUGUAAUGGUGGCACCGCGGUUUCAUUUGGCAUGUUUGUUACUUGAC